GGGAAUGUGGCUUAGUGGUACAGUGCUUGCCUAGCAUGCAUGAAUCCCUGGGUUCAAUUCCUCAGCACCA
rnacentral:tRNA from 1 species